GAAACCCAAUGGAAUUCGAGAUCUUUUGCUCUACACAUAGCAAAAGUACCAUAAUCCAGUACUAAUUUACAUCACUGAGAAUGGAAUUGAUGAGUUCAAUAAUGCCACCUUGUCACUAGAGGAGGCUCUUGUGGACAACCAAAGAAUUGAAUACUAUUUUAGUCAUCUUUGGUAUCUUCUGAAGGUUAUCACGUCCAUUUGCUGUCAUUGAUUCGCACUUCAAUUCAAUACUUCCAAAUUGUUACGAUGCAAUUGACUUAAUGCUCAUAUUCUGGUUUCUAAUCAGCACCAGGUAGUGUUCCAAGCUUUGAUCAUUCCUAUUUUUACUUCUUAAUGUUCUCUGUUGUUUCAUGUUGUAUUUUGAUUAUAUCAUAUGGGCUUAGAAAUAGCAGUUCUGAUUUGUAGUGAAGUGUCCAUAUUUCAUUACUCAAACUGUGUUGAAUGGUGAUUCUGGUUGUGGUUGAUUUGUAACUAAUGUUUUACUUUUCAGCUCACAAUGUCACGGCGACGGUUCCAUGCUUGGAUUUAAUAUUUAAACAAGGUCAGUUAUUUUUUAAUAUAGUUGCUAAGU